GCAGCCGGAACUUGCUAGUAAUGGCAGGUCAGCAUACUGCCGUGAAUACGUUCCCGGGCCUUGUACACACCGCCCGUCACACCAUGAGAGUUGGGAAUACCCGAAGCCUGUGAGCUAACUAUUAGAGGCAGCAGUCGAAGGUAGAAUCAAUGAUUGGGGUAAAGUCGUAACAAGGUAGC
rnacentral:rRNA from 1 species